AUGGACACGAGUUGAGUGCAGCCCAUCAAGCUGGCUAGGGUAACUAAAGUGUUGGGCAGGACCGGUUCAAAGGGACUGUGCACACAGAUGUGAGUGGAAUUUAUGGAUGCCACCAGCCACUCUAGCACCUGAAACGUUGUCAAAGGCCCCAUUCGAGAGGGUGAUGUGCCCACCCUUAUGGGAGUCAGAAAGAGAAAUUUAGAGGUUGCGCUGA
rnacentral:lncRNA from 1 species